rnacentral:rRNA from 1 species
UACGUAGGGGGCAAGCGUUGUCCGGAUUUAUUGGGCGUAAAGAGCGUGUAGGCGGCCACACAGGUCAGCUGUGAAAACUCGAGGCUCAACCUCGAGACGUCGGUUGAAACCGUUUGGCUAGAGUCCGGAAGAGGAGAGUGGAAUUCCCGGUGUAGCGGUGAAAUGCGCAGAUAUCGGGAAGAACACCCGUGGCGAAGGCGGCUCUCUGGACCGUAACUGACGCUGAGGCGCGAAAGCGUGGGGAGCAAACAGG